rnacentral:tRNA from 1 species
CGGGGCGUAGCGCAGCUUGGUAGCGCGUGUGAUUUGGGUUCACAAGGUCCCGGGUUCAAGUCCCGGCGCCCCGACCA